rnacentral:rRNA from 1 species
UAGCUACAGGCUUAACACAUGCAAGUCGAGGGGCAGCAUGGUCUUAGCUUGCUAAGGCCGAUGGCGACCGGCGCACGGGUGAGUAGCACGUAUCCAACCUGCCGUCUACUCUUGGACAGCCUUCUGAAAGGAAGAUUAAUACAAGAUGGCAUCAUGAGUCCGCAUGUUCACAUGAUUAAAGGUAUUCCGGUAGACGAUGGGGAUGCGUUCCAUUAGAUAGUAGGCGGGGUAACGGCCCACCUAGUCUUCGAUGGAUAGGGGUUCUGAGAGGAAGGUCCCCCACAUUGGAACUGAGACACGGUCCAAACUCCUACGGGAGGCAGCAGUGAGGAAUAUUGGUCAAUGGCCGAGAGCCUGAACCAGCCAAGUAGCGUGAAGGAUGACUGCCCUAUGGGUUGUAAACUUCUUUUAUAAAGGAAUAAAGUCGGGUAUGGAUACCCGUUUGCAUGUACUUUAUGAAUAAGGAUCGGCUAACUCCGUGCCAGCAGCCGCGGUAAUACGGAGGAUCCGAGCGUUAUCCGGAUUUAUUGGGUUUAAAGGGAGCGUAGAUGGAUGUUUAAGUCAGUUGUGAAAGUUUGCGGCUCAACCGUAAAAUUGCAGUUGAUACUGGAUAUCUUGAGUGCAGUUGAGGCAGGCGGAAUUCGUGGUGUAGCGGUGAAAUGCUUAGAUAUCACGAAGAACUCCGAUUGCGAAGGCAGCCUGCUAAGCUGCAACUGACAUUGAGGCUCGAAAGUGUGGGUAUCAAACAGGAUUAGAUACCCUGGUAGUCCACACGGUAAACGAUGAAUACUCGCUGUUUGCGAUAUACUGCAAGCGGCCAAGCGAAAGCGUUAAGUAUUCCACCUGGGGAGUACGCCGGCAACGGUGAAACUCAAAGGAAUUGACGGGGGCCCGCACAAGCGGAGGAACAUGUGGUUUAAUUCGAUGAUACGCGAGGAACCUUACCCGGGCUUAAAUUGCAGAUGAAUUACGGUGAAAGCCGUAAGCCGCAAGGCAUCUGUGAAGGUGCUGCAUGGUUGUCGUCAGCUCGUGCCGUGAGGUGUCGGCUUAAGUGCCAUAACGAGCGCAACCCUUGUUGUCAGUUACUAACAGGUUCCGCUGAGGACUCUGACAAGACUGCCAUCGUAAGAUGUGAGGAAGGUGGGGAUGACGUCAAAUCAGCACGGCCCUUACGUCCGGGGCUACACACGUGUUACAAUGGGGGGUACAGAGGGCCGCUGCCACGCGAGUGGAUGCCAAUCCCCAAAACCUCUCUCAGUUCGGACUGGAGUCUGCAACCCGACUCCACGAAGCUGGAUUCGCUAGUAAUCGCGCGUCAGCCACGGCGCGGUGAAUACGUUCCCGGGCCUUGUACACACCGCCCGUCAAGCCAUGGGAGCCGGGGGUACCUGAAGUGCGUAACCGCGAGGAGCGCCCUAGGGUAAAACUGGUGACUGGGGCU